UCGAUGUAUGGCUAGUGUGGCGCGAGUGACACAACGUGGAACCGUAAUAGGAUCUGCAAGGGCUUCUCAAACCAUCCGAAUCAUACAUCGAUUGUAACUCAUGGUGGGUGUCUUUUUAAGCAACCAAACCAGACAACAGUUGUGGCUGGUUUUGUUCUCUUCGUAUCGUGC
rnacentral:misc_RNA from 1 species